rnacentral:rRNA from 1 species
UUUAAAGUCUGACCUGCCCAAUGAGAUUUGAAUGGCCGCGGUAUCUUGACUGUGCAAAGGUAGCAUAAUAAUUAGUUUUUUNAUUGGANNCUGGUAUGAAUGGUUGGACGAGAAAAAAGCUGUCUCUAUUUAAUUUAAUUAGNAUUUUAUUUUUAAGUAAAAUAGCUUAAAUUUUUUUAAAAGACGAGAAGACCCUAUAGAGUUUUAUAUAAUUUAUAUAUUAANAUUUGAAGNAUUAAUAUUUUAUUUUAUANAUUAUAUUUGGUUGGGGUGACUAAAAAAUUUAAAUAGCUUUUUUUAAAAAUUAAACAUUAAUUUAUGAAUAUUUGAUCCAUUAUUUAUGAUUAAAAGAUUAAAUUACCUUAGGGAUAACAGCGUAAUUUUUUUG